rnacentral:rRNA from 1 species
GGGUUGUGAGGUUAAGCGACUAAGCGUACACGGUGGAUGCCCUGGCAGUCAGAGGCGAUGAAGGGCGUGCUAAUCUGCGAUAAGCGCCGGUAAGGUGAUAUGAACCGUUAUAACCGGCGAUACCCGAAUGGGGAAACCCAGUGUGACUCGUCACACUAUCAUUAACUGAAUCCAUAGGUUAAUGAGGCGAACCGGGGGAACUGAAACAUCUAAGUACCCCGAGGAAAAGAAAUCAACCGAGAUUCCCCCAGUAGCGGCGAGCGAACGGGGAGGAGCCCAGAGCCUGAAUCAGCAUGUGUGUUAGUGGAAGCGUCUGGAAAGGCGCGCGAUACAGGGUGACAGCCCCGUACACAAAAGCGCAUGUGCUGUGAGCUCGAUGAGUAGGGCGGGACACGUGGUAUCCUGUCUGAAUAUGGGGGGACCAUCCUCCAAGGCUAAAUACUCCUGACUGACCGAUAGUGAACCAGUACCGUGAGGGAAAGGCGAAAAGAACCCCGGCGAGGGGAGUGAAAAAGAACCUGAAACCGUGUACGUACAAGCAGUGGGAGCACCCUUUUGGGUGUGACUGCGUACCUUUUGUAUAAUGGGUCAGCGACUUAUAUUCUGUAGCAAGGUUAACCGAAUAGGGGAGCCGGAGGGAAACCGAGUCUUAAUUGGGCGUUAAGUUGCAGGGUAUAGACCCGAAACCCGGUGAUCUAGCCAUGGGCAGGUUGAAGGUUGGGUAACACUAACUGGAGGACCGAACCGACUAAUGUUGAAAAAUUAGCGGAUGACCUGUGGCUGGGGGUGAAAGGCCAAUCAAACCGGGAGAUAGCUGGUUCUCCCCGAAAGCUAUUUAGGUAGCGCCUCGUGAAUUCAUCUCCGGGGGUAGAGCACUGUUUCGGCUAGGGGGCCAUCCCGGCUUACCAACCCGAUGCAAACUGCGAAUACCGGAGAAUGUUAUCACGGGAGACACACGGCGGGUGCUAACGUCCGUCGUGAAGAGGGAAACAACCCAGACCGCCAGCUAAGGUCCCAAAGUCAUGGUUAAGUGGGAAACGAUGUGGGAAGGCCCAGACAGCCAGGAUGUUGGCUUAGAAGCAGCCAUCAUUUAAAGAAAGCGUAAUAGCUCACUGGUCGAGUCGGCCUGCGCGGAAGAUGUAACGGGGCUAAACCAUGCACCGAAGCUGCGGCAGCGACGUUUAUGCGUUGUUGGGUAGGGGAGCGUUCUGUAAGCCUGCGAAGGUGGCCUGUGAGGGUUGCUGGAGGUAUCAGAAGUGCGAAUGCUGACAUAAGUAACGAUAAAGCGGGUGAAAAGCCCGCUCGCCGGAAGACCAAGGGUUCCUGUCCAACGUUAAUCGGGGCAGGGUGAGUCGACCCCUAAGGCGAGGCCGAAAGGCGUAGUCGAUGGGAAACGGGUUAAUAUUCCCGUACUUGGUGUUACUGCGAAGGGGGGACGGAGAAGGCUAUGUUGGCCGGGCGACGGUUGUCCCGGUUUAAGCGUGUAGGUGUGUGUUCCAGGUAAAUCCGGUUCACUUUAACACUGAGGCGUGAUGACGAGGCACUACGGUGCUGAAGCAACAAAUGCCCUGCUUCCAGGAAAAGCCUCUAAGCAUCAGGUAACAUCAAAUCGUACCCCAAACCGACACAGGUGGUCAGGUAGAGAAUACCAAGGCGCUUGAGAGAACUCGGGUGAAGGAACUAGGCAAAAUGGUGCCGUAACUUCGGGAGAAGGCACGCUGACACGUAGGUGAAGUGAUUUACUCAUGGAGCUGAAGUCAGUCGAAGAUACCAGCUGGCUGCAACUGUUUAUUAAAAACACAGCACUGUGCAAACACGAAAGUGGACGUAUACGGUGUGACGCCUGCCCGGUGCCGGAAGGUUAAUUGAUGGGGUCAGCGCAAGCGAAGCUCCUGAUCGAAGCCCCGGUAAACGGCGGCCGUAACUAUAACGGUCCUAAGGUAGCGAAAUUCCUUGUCGGGUAAGUUCCGACCUGCACGAAUGGCGUAAUGAUGGCCAGGCUGUCUCCACCCGAGACUCAGUGAAAUUGAACUCGCUGUGAAGAUGCAGUGUACCCGCGGCAAGACGGAAAGACCCCGUGAACCUUUACUAUAGCUUGACACUGAACAUUGAGCCUUGAUGUGUAGGAUAGGUGGGAGGCUUUGAAGUGUGGACGCCAGUCUGCAUGGAGCCGACCUUGAAAUACCACCCUUUAAUGUUUGAUGUUCUAACGUGGACCCGUGAUCCGGGUUGCGGACAGUGUCUGGUGGGUAGUUUGACUGGGGCGGUCUCCUCCUAAAGAGUAACGGAGGAGCACGAAGGUUGGCUAAUCCUGGUCGGACAUCAGGAGGUUAGUGCAAUGGCAUAAGCCAGCUUGACUGCGAGCGUGACGGCGCGAGCAGGUGCGAAAGCAGGUCAUAGUGAUCCGGUGGUUCUGAAUGGAAGGGCCAUCGCUCAACGGAUAAAAGGUACUCCGGGGAUAACAGGCUGAUACCGCCCAAGAGUUCAUAUCGACGGCGGUGUUUGGCACCUCGAUGUCGGCUCAUCACAUCCUGGGGCUGAAGUAGGUCCCAAGGGUAUGGCUGUUCGCCAUUUAAAGUGGUACGCGAGCUGGGUUUAGAACGUCGUGAGACAGUUCGGUCCCUAUCUGCCGUGGGCGCUGGAGAACUGAGGGGGGCUGCUCCUAGUACGAGAGGACCGGAGUGGACGCAUCACUGGUGUUCGGGUUGUCAUGCCAAUGGCACUGCCCGGUAGCUAAAUGCGGAAGAGAUAAGUGCUGAAAGCAUCUAAGCACGAAACUUGCCCCGAGAUGAGUUCUCCCUGAGACUUUAAGUCUCCUGAAGGAACGUUGAAGACGACGACGUUGAUAGGCCGGGUGUGUAAGCGCAGCGAUGCGUUGAGCUAACCGGUACUAAUGAACCGUGAGGCUUAACCUUACAACGCCGAAG